rnacentral:rRNA from 1 species
AGGGUUUGAUCCUGGCUCAGAAUGAACGUUGGCGGCGUGGAUUAGGCAUGCAAGUCGAGCGAGAAGUUUACUUCGGUAAAUGGACAGCGGCGAAAGGGACAGUAAUGUGUAGGUACCUACCCCCCGAUCUGGGAUAGCUGCGGGAAACUGCAGGUAAUACCGGAUAAUGUCUUCGGACCAAAGGUGUGAUUCCGUCAGGGGAGGGGCCUGCAUCCUAUUAGCUUGUUGGUGAGGUAAUGGCUCACCAAGGCAACGAUGGGUAGCGGGUGUGAGAGCAUGACCCGCGUCAUUGGGACUGAGACACUGCCCAGACAUCUACGGAUGGCUGCAGUCGAGAAUCUUCGGCAAUGGGCGAAAGCCUGACCGAGCGACGCCGCGUGCGGGAUGAAGGCCCUCGGGUUGUAAACCGCUGUCGUUGGGGAGGAAAUGCAAAAGGGUUAUCCCUUUUGUUUGACCGAUCCAAGGAGGAAGUACGGGCUAAGUUCGUGCCAGCAGCCGCGGUAAGACGAACCGUACGAACGUUAUUCGGAAUUACUGGGCUUAAAGGGUGCGUAGGCUGCACGGAAAGUUGGGUGUGAAAGCCCUCAGCUCAACUGAGGAAUUGCAUCCAAAACUGCCGUGCUUGAGGGAGACAGAGGUGAGCGGAACUCAAGGUGGAGCGGUGAAAUGCGUUGAUAUCUUGAGGAACACCGGUGGCGAAAGCGGCUCACUGGGUCUCUUCUGACGCUGAGGCACGAAAGCUAAGGUAGCAAAC